GGUCCGUUAGCUCAGUUGGUUAGAGCGCUACCCUGUCACGGUAGAGGCCGUGGGUUCAAGUCCCAUACGGAUCG
rnacentral:tRNA from 1 species